AAUAGAGGAACGAAGGCUAAAAGCAUCUCGUCCUGUGAUAACGCCUCGACCAACAUCCUGUUGU
rnacentral:sRNA from 1 species